GUCCUGCAUCUACUUGACUGACUUCGGGCGAGGCAUCGAUAUGAAACAGUAUGAACGUGGAACAACUUUCAAUUGUGUUGUAGACACUGAUGGCUUCCAGUGUGUCGAAAUGAAAGAAGGGCGGCCUUGGACAUACCAGACUGAUUGGUAUGGGUUUCUGGGAUGUGUCCACACCCUACUAUUCGGCAGUUACAUGGAGACUCAGAAGAAGGCUGACGGAACUUGGGACAUCAAACAGAGGCUGAAAAGGUACUGGAAGCAAGACAUAUGGGGCAACCUGUUCACUACCCUGCUCAACAUCCCAAGCUGUUCUGAAAUCCCUGACGUCACACCUUUCAUUUGGGCCAUUGAUGCAGCACUCCAAGAGGGCAAGGCU